rnacentral:rRNA from 1 species
GGAUUGUAGUCUGCAACCCGACUACAUGAAGCUGGAAUCGCUAGUAAUCGCGGAUCAGAAUGCCGCGGUGAAUACGUUCCCGGGUCUUGUACACACCGCCCGUCACACCAUGGGAGGUCGGAAAUGCCCGAAGUCUGUGACCCAACCUUAGGGAGGGGAGCAGCCGAAGGCAGGUCGGAUGACUGGGGGUGAAGUCGUAACAAGGUAAC